GGGUAAUGGCCUACCAAGGCAGCGACGGGUAGCUGGUCUGAGAGGAUGAUCAGCCACACUGGAACUGGAACACGGUCCAGACUCCUACGGGAGGCAGCAGUGAGGAAUUUUGCGCAAUGGGGGAAACCCUGACGCAGCAACGCCGCGUGGGUGAAGAAGGCUUUCGGGUCGUAAAGCCCUGUCAGGUGGGAAGAACCGUUUCGAUACUAAUAAUGUCGAAGCCUGACGUACCACCAGAGAAGCACCGCCAACU
rnacentral:rRNA from 1 species